rnacentral:rRNA from 1 species
UACGUAGGGGGGCAAGCGUUGUCCGGAUUUAUUGGGCGUAAAGAGCGUGUAGGCGGUUUGGUAGGUCCGCUGUGAAAACGUCGAGGCUCAACCUCGAGACGCCGGUGGAAACCAUCAGGCUAGAGUCCGGAAGAGGAGAGUGGAAUUCCUGGUGUAGCGGUGAAAUGCGCAGAUAUCAGGAAGAACACCCGUGGACUAAGGCGGCUCUCUAGUACGGUAGCUGACGCUGAGACGCGAAAGCGUGGGGAGCGAACAGG